UACGUAGGGUGCGAGCGUUGUCCGGAAUUAUUGGGCGUAAAGAGCUUGUAGGCGGUCUGUCGCGUCUGCUGUGAAAAUCCGGGGCUCAACCCCGGACUUGCAGUGGGUACGGGCAGACUAGAGUGUGGUAGGGGAGACGUGGAAUUCCUGGUGUAGCGGUGAAAUGCGCAGAUAUCAGGAGGAACACCGAUGGCGAAGGCAGGUCUCUGGGCCACUACUGACGCUG
rnacentral:rRNA from 1 species